rnacentral:lncRNA from 1 species
GAUUCUGCAAUUGGGGGCGGUGACGUUCGAGGGAGAAUUCGAGUUUCCAUUUCGAUUAUGUGAUUUUUAGGAGCAAUGACGCCGAUUUGGAAUUCCCGAUUUGGGGCUUGGGAACUUGAUUUCGUGAUUUUCCUCAUCUGACGGCGAUUGACGCCGGAAAAGUUGGUCGGAGAAGAUGAGAUGUGAUUUUUUUUAAUGAACGGUGUGCAGAUUAGCCCCCGAACUCCAAAAAGGGAAAAGGUGCAGAUUAGCCCCUGAACUCCAAAAAAAC